AGAGCGAACGCUGGCGGCAGGCCUAACACAUGCAAGUCGAACGCCCAGCAAUGGGAGUGGCAGACGGGAUAGUAACACGUGGGAACGCGCCCUUCGGUUCGGAAUAACUCAGGGAAACUUGAGCUAAUACCGGAUACGCCCUUACGGGGAAAGAUUUAUUGCCGAAGGAACGGCCCGCGUCGGAUUAGCUAGUUGGUGAGGUAAUGGCUCACCAAGGCGACGAUCCGUAGCUGGUCUGAGAGGAUGACCAGCAUCACUGGGACUGAGACACGGCCCAGACUCCUACGGGAGGCAGCAGUGGGGAAUAUUGGACAAUGGGCGCAAGCCUGAUCCAGCCAUGCCGCGUGGAUGAUGAAGGCCCUAGGGUUGUAAAGUCCUUUUAACGGGGAGAUAAUGACGGUACCGUAGAAUAAGCCCGGCUAACUUCGCGCCAGCAGCCGC
rnacentral:rRNA from 1 species